GAUUUUGACAUGAUCAUGUUUUAUCUCCCAGUUUGAAACAGUCUACAGAUGCGGACUGUAACAUCUCGCAAGAAUCCGAGUUUUUGGAUGCUGCCUCCAGCUUGAAGAUGAAUACACACCAUGUGCGUGAACACAGUUCUGAACUUAUUCUAAACCUCUAGCAUGAUGAAGGCAGCACUGAAGAAAUUCACUCUAGAAGAAGACUGGCUGCUUUCUGGUUCGGUUUUUGGACCGCUUUUACUUCAUAUGAAUCCUACAUGACUAGGA